CAGAGUAUAGCUAAACACAGGAAAGCGCCUCCCUUACACCGAGAAGACAUCCGUGCAAACCGGAUUACCCUGA
rnacentral:tRNA from 1 species